CAUGUACUGCCACCAUAUUAAAAAAAUAAAAUAAAAAAAAAUUAUGGUAAGUAAAAUUUCUGUUAUCCUAGGCUGUGACUCACAUAGCCUCCAUGAAAAGAAAGGUUCAGAGAUUAAAUGUGAGAGAAAAGGAAGCGAAAGGGUAGUUUGUACUGAGGGAAUUUGAAACUGUGUUAUACACACCUUUCAUGGAAUCUUUAGAAUUUAAUCACUUAUAAAUUAAAAUCGACAAAUACUUAUAAUUAAUAUAACUUUAAAAUAAAUUGUGAUCUAUUACACUAGAUGUUUAUUGGAACUAUGAGACUUAACAUUACAUGACUAUAAGACACCACUAUAUAAGUAGG